UCUGGCAGCCCUUCCCAAGGGCGUUUCCUCCCAAGACUUCGGGCCGCUCCCUCGGGAGUGGCCUUUUUUCUGCGCGCC
rfam:Methylobacterium radiotolerans JCM 2831, complete genome.